CCGGCUCGCAGCGCGGGCGGAGGGCCGCAGCAGACGCGGUCUGCAUCCCACUCGGCCGCCUCGGGCCCGGCUGCCCCCUGGCGGCGGCGCUCGGCACUGCCGCGGCGGCACCCUGCGGUCCCUCCCCAGGAGCCGCCCCUACCCCGCGUUUCCUAGCAACGCCCCUAAACGCCUCCUCCCUGCUCCCGGGCGACGCGCCCAAUGCAAACUUUAGCUUCUCCCGGCCUGGCGCCCGCUGGAGGGCCGGAAGCGGGAGAGCGCCUUCCUGAAAAGUGUUUCUCGCUGCUCCUCCAGGAAAAGGAUCACGAGGUGGGGGUGGGGAAGGAAAUGGUUUAAGUUAAUUUAAACUGUGUCUGCCGCGGGCAACAAUCCAAGAAAGGUUUCUUUUUCUUUUUUUUUUUUUUCCUUGAGUCACGUUGGAAGAAUUCAGAGAAGCUCUUUGCUGCAGCCCGGUGGCCGCUGAUAGAACCUGGACAACGGAGCAGAGAUGUGGCUUAGAGGGUCCCCAGGGUGCACGGAGCCAGGCCUGGCCGAGGGUGGAGUCGCGGCGGAGACCCACGCAUGGCACCCUCUUUGCCAGGCGCUUUUCAUAGGUAUUCACAGUGAUGCAAAACUGAGUAGCACAGGUCCUCCAGAGGUUUGUUCCAAGUUUACUCGUGUCCAAUCUGCAGCCUGGAGCUGCCACCCCACCCUCCCACCUGAAACUGCCCUGUGGACUCCAGAACAGCCCUCACACAGAGCUGCUGGGAAGUGUUGGGAGCCAGGCUCACACGGGGUCCCAGGCUGCAGGCCCUGCACUGUCCCUGAUGACCCUGGCUGUGUGCAGGGCCCAGGGGUCCGGGGGACUCAGAGGCCAAGCCCACAUGGCCUUCCCGCCUGGAGCCCAGCAGCGGCUCAGAAAAGGUACUUACUGAGGGUCUCCCUGAAGGCACUUGAACUUGAUACUCCUUUUACUAAGCCCUAG
rnacentral:lncRNA from 1 species